GUGUUACAUUGCGUAGCAGUCAGUUUGCUAGUCAAUCGUGUUAUAAUUGAGCUUAAUUAGCUUUGUAUGUUCGUGGACAGAUACCACAAGAGACCAUACCUGCUUGAAAAUCACAAGUCUGUAGAGCUGAAGUCAUGUAUUCAGUCCCUGAGGGAGUGUAUCACUUUCCUGGAUAAAGAUCAUGAAAGUCUUGUGGGAGUUCUGCUGAAAGUGGACUGGACGAGGAGGGAGUCAGGCUGUUGUCCUAGAGUAUCAGACCCUUCUACACAACCUUGUAUCCGCACACACAUACUAUCUACGGGCUUCACAUGCUUGUCAAACACUUCCUGCCAAAAAUCACGGAGAAUUCCAAGGACUGCUCAUUAGACAUUGUAGUUUUGGACAGCCAACAACUUCAGGAUCAUGGUCAAGCUUCAUCAACAUCCAUUUGGUGAUCAAGGCCAUAUCUAGCAUUGUACCAAUAUAACUAGCGAUGGAUGUGCUCCAACUAACAGUGGAAAGCGGUGAACAAAAUGAGCUGGAUAAUGACCGGAUAUGGUGGGUCAAGGGGGGCAUGCAGUGUUCAGUGCCAGAUCGAGACAUGUACAGGGGACCUAGACUACCUGGACCUGAUGCAGGAUUAGCCGUGCAAUAUCAGUGAUAGUUUAUUUUGAUGGACAAUUUAUUACAAAUACAGAUAUUCUGAUUGUGAUCGGGUGAAAUAUAGGGUACAACAUUAUAUGAACUCUGAUCUCUGUUUGUAUACUAUAUAAUUCUGCUCAGGCAGGGUAAAAUUCAUUUUUGUUAUUGGUUCUAUUUGUUGAUAUUUACUAAACACUUGUUAACUUUGAUUACUAUUUGAUAAAAUUUGAUUUUGUUUCAUUGUUGAUACUUUACAAAUGUUAUAUAUAUUUCAAGUUUAAAUCAAUGUUGUUCAAACAGGGACUUACUUUUUCAAAGAAGGGAGUUGUGUAGCACGGGAUGUUCCUGUUUGUAUGUUGUCAGGGUAAGCUGACUAGUCAAGCUUGUCUCUAUAUUGUGUAUUGUGUGUGUGUACCUGUCACUGUGACCAUUGUUGUACUCCAUUCACGUGCCCUGUCUGUGUUGAUGUUUUUGUCGUGUAGUUGUAGCUUGCCUUCUCGUGAGUGUCCGUCUUACUCGUAUACCUCUGUGAGUCCUGUGUUGUGAUUGGUUGUUUAGUUUCAUAUUGGGUGAUAAAUUCAUGGUUUUACUUGUAUACUGGGCAGUCUGACGGAUCGAGUUCCUGCGUACUGUCACUUUCUCUUCUAAGGUAUUUAUACAUGUAGUUAGGUUAAGUUUUAGUUAUAUAACGUUAGGAGUGGGCCGUGACGGGUUUAGUUUCGUACCUAUUGUCGGGUAUGGGGGGUCGGUAUAUGUAGAAUGUAGUAUUAUUGGUUGGCUAGGCCUAGGCUGAUUGUCUCUGUUCAUGUGUUAAUUACUGUAAAUAUUUAUGUUAUUCGUAAUAAAUUGUUAACUGUUA